rnacentral:lncRNA from 1 species
UCCAGCGCUCCAUACUCUUCUGAAGCUCCUUAAUUCCAGCUUCUGUUUUAUCAAUGGAAUUGUCCAAAUCUUCUGAUCGUGCCAUAGUGUCUUUUACUCUUUUAUUGAUGGCUUCAAGUUCUGAUGUUGUGGCUGUGAGAACAGUACCCCCUUCUGUCUCUCUCAGCUCAUUAAGUUCCUGUUCUACUUGGUCCAAGCGUUUUCUCAGAUUCUCAUUGAGAUAAGUCUCUACUCG